rnacentral:lncRNA from 1 species
GUUUGGUCUCAGGGCCCUGCUCAUCAAGAAAUGUUUUUGAAAAAGGUGGAAGUAGGUAGAGGGACGUGCUCUGAACCAGCGUGACCAAAAGACAGUGUGUUCACGGUGCAUUCAUCUGAUUCAAUUCCUGCCAAAGGCUUUUGUUAUUUGAGAACAUUAUGACUAAACCAACAGAGAGGAAGGUGAGUAAGCAAACAGGAAAAACUGAUGACGAAUUGACAAUCCAUGUAUUUAUCCACCCAUUUAAAGUAACUUGCUGAGCGCCUACCUAGCUGCACAAGAAGCUCAGGGCCUGAAGAUGAACACGCAGAGGCUGUGUGCAGGGGCAUGAGCUUACAGCUGGAAUUAGAGAUAAAGGAAAAGGCACCUGAGCCCUGUGACAUGCGGGGGGUCAGGGGAGGUGGGACAUAUGUGGCCUCGUAGCCAGAGCCCCGCCUGUUUCCCAGGACAUUCUGAAUACGGGUGAGAGACUGCGCGUUGGACAAUCACUGUGAGUCCCGACCCUUACCAGAAAAGUCACUCGCAGCGUCGUUUCCAGGCAUAGGUUAGGAUCACCAUCCUCUCCCACGGGCCGUAUGUUGCAAUCCUGAUAUGAAAACGUCUUCUAUCUCCUUCAACUGCGGCAGGAGCACAGGCAACUCUGUAAAGUGUGAAUCUUAGAAAGGGU